GAAAAUCUCAACCUGAUGUCUCUUGGUGACUCACGGCCAUUUAAGUUAUUGAAUGUUAUUGCCUCUCCUCUGCAUCAGGAGCUCUGGGAAUCCCUCACUUGAUGUAUUUGCAGUGACAAGUCCCACCGGUGGAAGACGAUGGCCGUGCUGUACUGAAGGCCCCCGCUGCAUUUCUAACCACAAGUGAAACUGCACAUAGGCUGGUGGCUGUUCUGCCUGCAGUUCACAGGUCUUCAGAGUAAGACUCAGCUUACCACAUGGAGCAAGCAAUGUGCCCCAACCACUCAGAUGCAUGUUAUUUGAGAAACUGUUGAACCCUAAAUUUGCAAGAUACUUACAUGUUGAGAUUGCAUCAUUUUAAGGUAGGCAAACAUGGCUUCCUUAGAGAAAUUCUUUUAAUUCCACUGCAGAAUGAGACACUGUGCAAUUUAGUUCUUGUGUUUAUAAAAGGCAGAUACAAGUUUUUUCAUAUGUAAAGAUUGUAAAACAUGCUUGAAUUCUGUUCUUGGGUAUCUAUACAUUUUUUAUUUCUUUUGGUGAACAUAAUGUGGAAGGUGUAUAAAUGUUGCAUGAGUCUCCAGGAAAUGCACUGAAGUCAUUUGGGCUCUGUUUCAUGAGAUUAGUUUAGUCUAAUCUCUCUGUUUUACAAAAAACAAGUUGUCUGUGGAAGACUGAGGCAUGAGGGUCAGUCAAAAAUGAAUGAUUGGUAAUAAUUGCAUGGAUGAUAAUGUAUUUGGUAGGAUAAAAUGUAAAUGUAGUUUGUGUACUUACAAAACUACAGAUGUUGCUGCCUCGUAUUGCCUGCUCUUGAAUCCACACUUCAAGGAUGAAAUCUGUCCUUUUUUGCCAUUGAUUUUGGUGGUCUCAUAGUUUCUCCAAAGAUGAAUAGUGUUGGUACAAUAUGCUGAUGUUAAACACGAGUGUCAUCACUAAGAGGGUUUGCUCAUAAAGGUCAAAUAAAAAUAUGUCAACCCUCUUUGAUUAAUAAUCCAUGCUGUUAGUAGAUAUUGAUUACAUUUAAGAUCAUGUGGUUAAGAGGCAGUUUAAAUUAUCUUCAAGCAACAUUACAGAAAAUAAGAAAUCAGAUUCUUUUCAAGGUAGAUGCUAACAGGCAACAUUGUUGUAAAACCCUAGUCUGAGGAAGGGGAGAUAGUUAGAGGAGAUUUACCCAUUUUGGAUAGGCUGACUGCAAGCACUGGUGGAAGAAUCAUAAAAAAAUAAUGACCAACCAUCUUUCUUACUCUGCCUGUGGUAACAAUUAUGACAAUAUGAAUAUCCAGGAAUAUUUUGAGCCUGAGUUCAGAUCAGAGUGUGGCCCUCAGCU